rnacentral:lncRNA from 1 species
UCUGGACUCUCAGUACCUGUUGCUAUAAGUGUUUCACUGACUCAUAUGAACAAAAAUACAAUAAAUAUAAGGAAAAGGAAACUAAAAAAGCCCUAAAAAACUACUUGGAAAGACUAGCAAUGAUAGAAGCUGAGACAAUGUGCAAUCUGACAAUGCCUUCGAUAGAAGACAUCAGUAGUGAACAACCUAGAACCUCAGCUGACAGCCAGUCAACAUCUUCGGCUUCGGAACAAGUUACUGCGGCGGCGUCAUCUUCAACGUCAAGAGAGCGGCUAAUGACCAAAGCGGAGAAGAUUGAGGAGAUACAGGAAGAAAUGAGCCAACUUUAUGGUGCUAUCUCAAUGUCAGACUUUUAUCUGUAUGGACUCCAGGAAGCAAGAGCAGAGAAUUCGAGUACCACCCGUGGAUCCAUCCCAAUAACAGUGAGACGCUGGUUCCGCAGACUUUUUUGACAGUAUGUUCCACAGUGUCCCCGUCACGUCCCCCGCAGCCGGCACAUCGGCGACACCUGCCGUUUCCUAUGGGAACGGCAAUAAAGAGGGAAGCCGAGGAAGCCCA